UACGUAGGGGGCAAGCGUUGACCGGAUUUAUUGGGCGUAAAGAGCGUGUAGGCGGCCAGGUAGGUCCGUUGUGAAAACUCGAGGCUCAACCUCGAGACGUCGAUGGAAACCAUCUGGCUAGAGUCCGGAAGAGGAGAGUGGAAUUCCUGGUGUAGCGGUGAAAUGCGCAGAUAUCAGGAAGAACACCUAUGGCGAAGGCAGCUCUCUGGGACGGUACUGACGCUGAGACGCGAAAGCGUGGGGAGCGAACAGG
rnacentral:rRNA from 1 species